rnacentral:lncRNA from 1 species
GGGGUAUACAAAACUGAUUAUUGAGCUCUGCAAACCAAGCCAACCCAAAUAAAACCAUCCAUUCAUUCAUUUUACAGGGGACUGUUAGUGAACUGAUUACUGAAAAUGAAGUCAAUGGAGCUACAUUUACUGAAGACCCAAAUGAAACUCUAUGGAAACUCUCCAUGGAUCAUUACUUUGUCACACUCAUUAGAACUUGAGAUGAAACCUAUUGAGGUGCCUUAACAUCAUCUCUGAACAU